UACGGAGGGGCUAGCGUUGUUCGGAAUUACUGGGCGUAAAGCGCACGUAGGCGGCUUUGUAAGUUAGAGGUGAAAGCCCGGAGCUCAACUCCGGAUGACCUUUAAGACUGCAUCGCUCGAAUCAUGGAGAGGUGAGUGGAAUUCCGAGUGUAGAGGUGAAAUUCGUAGAUAUCGAGAGGAACACCGGUGGCGAAGGCGGCUACCUGGACAGAAACUGACGCUGGAGACGCGAAAGCGUGGGGAGCAAACAGG
rnacentral:rRNA from 1 species